rnacentral:rRNA from 1 species
AGAUUGAACGCUGGCGGCAUGCCUUACACACGCAAGUCGAACGGUAGAGUAGCAAUACUCGAGAGUGGCGAACGGGUGAGUAAUAUAUCGGAACGUGCCCAGUCGUGGGGGAUAACGUAGAGAAAUUUACGCUAAUACCGCAUACGAUCUAAGGAUGAAAGCGGGGGACUCGCAAGAGCCUCGCGCGAUUGGAGCGGCUGAUAUCAGAUUAGGUUGUUGGUGAGGUAAAAGCUCACCAAGCCGACGAUCUGUAGCUGGUUUGAGAGAACGACCAGCCACACUGGGACUGAGACACGGCCCAGACUCCUACGGGAGCAGCAGUGGGAAUUUUGGACAAUGGGCGAAAGCCUGAUCCAGCAAUGCCGCGUGCAGGAACGAAGGCCGUUCGGUUGUAAACUGACUUUUGUACGGAACGUAAAGUCUAGCCCGUAAGUACGGCCGGACCGACUGACGGUACCGAAGAAUAACGC